rnacentral:rRNA from 1 species
CUUACCAAGACUAGACGGGACCGUGAGUCCCCCGAAAGGGGGAGGCUUCUUCGGAAGAGCGGUCGUCAGGUGCUGCAUGGUUGUCGUCAGCUCGUGUCGUGAGAUGUUGGGUUAAGUCCCGCAACGAGCGCAACCCCCGUCGUGUGUUGCCAGCGGUUCGGCCGGGCACUCACACGAGACUGCCGGUGACAAACCGGAGGAAGGUGGGGAUGACGUCAAAUCCGCAUGGCCUUUAUGUCUUGGGCUACACACGUGCUACAAUGGCGCCGACAACGGGCCGCCACGGCGCGAGCCGGAGCGAAUCCUUCAAACGGCGUCUCAGUUCGGAUUGCAGGCUGCAACUCGCCUGCAUGAAGCCGGAAUUGCUAGUAAUCGCGGAUCAGCAUGUCGCGGUGAAUUCGUUCCCGGGCCUUGUACACACCGCCCGUCACACCACGAGAGCUGACCACACCCGAAGCCGGUCGGUCGAACCCGCAAGGGACGAUCCCGUCGACGGUGGGGUGGGUGAUUGGGGUGAAG